rnacentral:tRNA from 1 species
GAUCUCGUGGCUGGGCCGGGCCGGGUUCUGCGACGCCCCGACGACCGCGAUGGUUCGAGUCUCGCCCAGGAUUC